rnacentral:piRNA from 1 species
UAUGGAUGCCUUAAACGUCAGCCUC